AUUCAUGGAAAAUUGAGUUAUUUUUCUUUUCCAUCUAGUAAAGAUUUUAAUCUAAAUUUAAUCAUAAUAUGGGAUGAAGAGGAACUUCAGCAUAAAGCCUCUUUAAAUACUGCCUGCUAUGAAGAGAGAUUUAGCAAUAGCCUUGUCUACCUCAAACUGAUUGAAACCACCAACCCCUUCAUUUGGCCUGCACAGGUGUCCAGUUGGUGAGCCCUUACUCUCAGAUGGCCAAAAACUCCACCCUCAGCUCAGGCCACCCCAUCUCUUCAUCCCACAAAUAUCCACCACCGUGUUGACCAGAAGAGUCAAGAUCUUGGGGGUUUUUGUUGGUUGCUGCCUGCCUCCAAGUAUGGUAUAUCUGAGGUUAGACAACUGUCAGUUUAACAGAAGAAUGAGUAGUCAGUAGAUAACAUAUGGCCCCAUUCACCUAACAGAGAGUUGAUUUUCUAGGGUUUCUCCUUCCAAGUCUUCAGGAGCACUCAGUUGCCAGGAUAUAAGUCAUGAGGUAGAACAUCUGAUACAGUGACUUCUAAAAACAAACUCAUGUAUGGGGUUAGUGUAACACCCAGAGAUUGGGCAUAGUUUUUCAAAAGCUACUUUGUUAUAGCAAGAUCUGACAUUUGUCCCAUGGAUGAGGUCUGAAAUGGUCUACCAUACAAAAUUUCACGAGGACAAAGUCUUUCUUUUUUUUGGUACCAGGGAUGGAACUCAGGACCUUUCACUUUUGAGGCAGGCGGCAGCACCACUGAGCUAAAUCUCCGGCUCCACAAAGACCAAGAAAAGGGAGCUACAUGUAUCUGCAGCAAGGUAAUAGAAAAAACCUUACCCCCAUGCCAAGUAUGUUUCUUGACACAGUUUAACAAUAAUCCUUUUAAAGGUCUGAUUCUCAUUUUGGUCUUUCUGGUUGAUUGUGGCCUCCAGGCCGAAUGAAGUUGGCAUUUGAUAGUAAAAGCCUUGGACACUUGUACAACUUGUGAGACAAAAGUGGGGCCAUUGUCCCUCUGUAUGGGUUUGGUACUCCAUACCUUGGUAUUAUUUACAGGCCACUUCUGCUCCUCCUUCUGUUUGGAUGGGGAAGGUCUCUGAACAUCAAGAAAAUGUAUCUACCAAAACCAGUAAGUAACCAAAGUUACCCUAGACUAGGAGCAUUUGUGAAGUCUAUUUUCCAGUCCUUACGAGGGAAUUCUCCCCUGAACAGUAGUGAGUUCCCACACUGGAGGCUGUAGGUUGGCUCUGGAUAGUUUUAAGCACAAAUGAGGCAGGUUCCUGUCCCUGAGUCUACGACACAGUGCAAACCAGGACCAGUUAUAUACUUUUGUGUCCACCGUAAAGUGGCAUCUCAACCAUAGGGGGCAGCACAAUGAAUUUGUCCUAACACUGGGCAUAUAAGAAUUCCAGUAUGAGUAUUGUGCACUUAGCAUUAUACUUCUGUCCUAAAGGAGACCCCUUGGUGAAACGCAGCUCCUUGUCCAUUUGCAGUCUUCUCUGGAGUAGUUAGAUAAGGUAUCAGACAAGCUGAUCUGAGGCAAUAAAAGGCCCAUCACAGUGAAGGAUUUUAGCUCUACUACCAACUUGGCUGCUCGGCCAGCCAGUUGGUUUCUUUUUUCAACAUUAUUUCCCCAUUGAGGGCAGGGUGCUGCACUAUUACAACCUGUUAGAGCUUGUAAACUGUCUCUAUUAACUGUAGAAUCUCAAACACAUGUUUAAUGUCUUUUUUGCCUGAGUUUACUAGUCUUGCUUUCCAAACAGCUGUCUCAAAAGAAAAGAAAAAGAGAUAGAGAGAAAGAAAGAAAGGAAAGGAAGGAAGGAAGGAAGGAAGGAAAUAGAAAGAGAGAGAGAGAAAGAAAGAAAGAAAAAGAAAGAAAGAAAAAGAAAGAAAGAAAGAAAGAAAAAGAAAGAGAGAGAGAGAAAGAAACAAACUAAGUGGGGCAGAGGGAGAUAUCUCUCCUCUCUACACCUAGAACACAAAGGUGUGGAAUUUCUUAACUAUGGCUGUUCUCCAGAAGUGUAGUCUUGGGAAAAUUUCAACAUUGUCAGCCUUUUGUAAAAGAUGAACAAAUACCAUUUUUCAUGGAACCACACAUAGGUGAGAAUAAAUCUGAGCAGGGCCAAGCAGGGUCUAAGAAAUCGUCUCCUGAGGACUUUUGUUGGUGCUAUAGGGAUAUAUGAAAAUUUUUGUUGGUGCUACAGGUAUAUAUGAAAAGAGAGAGGGCUACUUUUCUACUGAGAGAUGGUGAAAAAGGUCAGUUGGUUUAGAGUCCUGAACAUCAGACAUCUUAAAAGAGGGAUCCUAAAUGAAAGAAAAAAAAGGAAAUACUACAAUGAAAAGCUGCUUUAAAGUAAAUAGUGCCAGGGGUUAAACCUAAAGGUAACUAGUCCAGUGAAUUCCAAGAGUUUUGUAAAACUCAUUGGGUUUCUUGAAGUUGAAAGGUUGACAUGCUUGGUGAUACACUCUUGGUUACCUCUUGGGUAAGGGUAUACAUAACCCAGCAUUGUGUCAGACUUCCUACUGGCUCUGCUAAUGGCUUGUUCAUAGAGAAAUCCAUGCAUUUUCUGCUGCUGACAAACAAGUCAGUCCUGGGGUCUUCCAAGGUUCAUAUGAAGUCAUUGGUGUCCAGUGCAGAGGGCUUCUUCAGAUUGUGACCAUCACAGGGUCUGAAAGGGAUCUGUGUGAUCUGGUUUUUAUUCUUGGAGAUGUUGAGUCAGAGGGAGGGAGAAAUUUUAGAAACCUUCAUUUAAAGGGAUAUAGCCAAAUAUUGAAGGAAAGAUGAAGAAUUAAACAUUUGGUAAGUGUUAGGACUUAUGCAAGGUAGCAAGAACGAAAUCUAAGUAGGUACACAAACUGGUUUUCCCACAGAGGGGUGUGGGAGGGUGAGGAAUAGAAAGAUGUAACUUAAAUCUCUGCCUUAGAGUUUCAUAUCCAUAAAUUACCUGCAAUUUACAAAUAGUGUACAUAAUUCAAAGACAAUGAACAGGGCCAGAAUAUGGUAUUACUAUUGGGCUCAGGACUGGAGUUAAAAGGAUGUGGUAUAAUUUUCCACUAAAACACAAAAUAUCCUU